rnacentral:misc_RNA from 1 species
GAUGUACCGAUUUUGAUAAUUCUUUUUUUGUUGGAAAGGGGAUAUCCCUAGUUUGUAGUACCAUGAGAAGAAAACCAGGAUCAGAUGAUGGCAUCCCAAAGAAAUCGAGGGGAAUCUUCGAAAAUCGUAGUGGCGACUAAUGCGUUUGUUAUUUUUUUUUUUAUCUACUUACGUUGUAUUACUUGUCGAUGUAAUUGAAGUCGGUUUUUUUUCUUAAUUAAUAUAUAUCUUGCCUUGGAAAAUAAACAUAUAUUUUUCGUGGUCGGAAACUUGGUGUUACAAGUUUGUCAUCAUAUCUUGUACACAUUAUGAAACAACAAGAUUCUUGCAUACGCACACGUGCACAUCGUGACGUUCAAAGUAAUUUCUUCGUUAUAAUUCAACCUUGUAAGACUAGUAAUAAAGC